UCCUCCUGCUGCUCCUCCUGCUGCUCCUCCUGCUCCUCCUGCUCCUCCUGCUCCUCCAGGCCGUUCUUCAUCCUCCUCUCCUCCGUGAAUUGAUUAAAGCAGUGAGACGCUGUGAAGGUCGAGGGUUCGAUUCCCUCAGAGAAGAUGUUUCAGAUCCUCCUGUUGAUCCUAAAAAACUCCAGUGGCGCUGCAGGACUGUGAGUUCAUUCAGAGAGCGUCCGACUGGAACUGUGUCUGACACAGAAUACUACUAGAGGUUAAAGAGUUAAAAACAUGACAUGAAGUUAUUUAUUUCACACUCAUUCUUUGUACUUUUUACUUUAUAAUGCAAACUAUACUGCAACGUUUUAUUUCUAUUUUCAAAAGUUAUUUCUCUCUCUGGUAUUUUGUCUCUUAACCUUUGCACUGUGAAUAUUGUUACUCACAAAAUCAAAUAAGACAAAUUCCUUUCAUGUGUGAACGUUUCUUGUUCUGAGCAGGUUUUCUUAAAUCAUUUAUGACCUCAUGACUUCUCCUCAAAACAAACUUCACACGAAUGAUCGACAUAAACCUUUUUCAUCUCGUGUCUUGCCGCUGAUUUUUCUUUUGCCA